UACGAAGGGGGCUAGCGUUGUUCGGAAUUACUGGGCGUAAAGGGCGCGUAGGCGGUACUUCAAGUCAGGCGUGAAAGCCCCGGGCUCAACCUGGGAACCGCGCUUGAGACUGGAGAACUAGAGUUCGGGAGAGGAUGGUGGAAUUCCCAGUGUAGAGGUGAAAUUCGUAGAUAUUAGGAAGAACACCAGUGGCGAAGGCGGCUAACUGGUCCGGUACUGACGCUGAGGUGCGAAAGCGUGGGGAGCAAACAGG
rnacentral:rRNA from 1 species